UACGUAGGCAGCGAGCGUUGUUCGGAGUUACUGGGCGUAAAGAGUGCGUAGGCGGUUUUCUAAGUUUGGUGUGAAAUCUCCCGGCUUAACUGGGAGGGUGCGCCGAAGACUGGAAGGCUUGAGUAUGGGAGAGGUAAGCGGAAUUCCUGGUGUAGCGGUGAAAUGCGUAGAUAUCAGGAGGAACACCUGCGGUGUAGACGGCUUACUGGACCAUAACUGACGCUGAGACGCGAAAGCGUGGGGAGCAAACAGG
rnacentral:rRNA from 1 species